UGCAUACAUGACUGUAAGUAGCUUUGGAUUAAAGCUUCUACUAAAUGGAAUACA
rfam:Salmo salar isolate Sally breed double haploid chromosome ssa16, whole genome shotgun sequence.